rnacentral:rRNA from 1 species
AAUACAUCGGAACGUGCCCGAUCGUGGGGGAUAACGAAGCGAAAGCUUUGCUAAUACCGCAUACGAUCUACGGAUGAAAGCAGGGGACCGCAAGGCCUUGCGCGAACGGAGCGGCCGAUGGCAGAUUAGGUAGUUGGUGGGAUAAAAGCUUACCAAGCCGACGAUCUGUAGCUGGUCUGAGAGGACGACCAGCCACACUGGGACUGAGACACGGCCCAGACUCCUACGGGAGGCAGCAGUGGGGAAUUUUGGACAAUGGGCGAAAGCCUGAUCCAGCCAAUGCCGCGUGCAGGAUGAAGGCCUUCGGGUUGUAAACUGCUUUUGUACGGAACGAAAAGCCCUGGGUUAAUACCCUGGGGUCAUGACGGUACCGUAAGAAUAAGCACCGGCUAACUACGUGCCAGCAGCCGCGGUAAUACGUAGGGUGCGAGCGUUAAUCGGAAUUACUGGGCGUAAAGCGUGCGCAGGCGGUUUUGUAAGACAGAGGUGAAAUCCCCGGGCUCAACCUGGGAACUGCCUUUGUGACUGCAAGGCUAGAGUACGGCAGAGGGGGAUGGAAUUCCGCGUGUAGCAGUGAAAUGCGUAGAUAUGCGGAGG